UGUACCUCUUAGUCUGGGAUAGCCACUGGAAACGGUGAUUAAUACUAGAUACUCCUUUUCAUCACAGGGUGAAAUGGGAAAGUUUUUUCGCUAAGAGAUCGGUCUAUAUCCUAUCAGUUAGUUGGUGAGGUAAUGGCUCACCAAGGCAAUGACGGGUAGCGGGUCUGAGAGGAUGAUCCGCCACACUGGUACUGAGACACGGACCAGACUCCUACGGGAGGCAGCAGUGAGGAAUAUUGCACAAUGGAGGAAACUCUGAUGCAGCAACGCCGCGUGGAGGAUGACGCAUUUCGGUGUGUAAACUCCUUUUAUGAGUCAAGAAAAUGACGGUAGCUCAUGAAUAAGCACCGGCUAACUACGUGCCAGCAGCCGCGGUAAUACGUAGGGGGCAAGCGUUAUCCGGAUUUACUAGGUGUAAAGGGAGCGUAGGCGGCUUGGCAAGUCUGAUGUGAAAGCCCAGGGCUCAACCCUGGGACUGCAUUGGAAACUGUCAGGCUAAAGUGCAGGAGAGGUAAGUGGAAUUCCUAGUGUAGCGGUGAAAUGCGUAGAUAUUAGGAGGAACACCAGUGGCGAAGGCGGCUUACUGGACUGUAACUGACGCUGAGGCUCGAAAGCGUGGGGAGCAAACAGGAUUAGAUACCCUGGUAGUCCACGCUGUAAACGAUGAAUACUA
rnacentral:rRNA from 1 species